rnacentral:rRNA from 1 species
AACGAACGCUGGCGGCGUGCCUAACACAUGCAAGUCGAGCGCGAAUAGGGGCAACCCUUAGUAGAGCGGCGCACGGGUGCGUAACACGUGGAUAAUCUGCCUGGAUGCCUGGGAUAACCAGUCGAAAGAUUGGCUAAUACCGGAUAAGCCCACGGUCUCUUCGGAGGCUGAGGGAAAAGGUGGCCUCUGUAUACAAGCUAUCACAACCAGAUGAGUCCGCGGCCCAACAGCUAGUUGGCCGGGUAAUGGCCCACCAAGGCGACGACGGGUAGCUGGUCUGAGAGGACGAUCAGCCACACUGGAACUGAGACACGGUCCAGACUCCUACGGGAGGCAGCAGUGGGGAAUUUUGCGCAAUGGGCGAAAGCCUGACGCAGCAACGCCGCGUGUGUGAUGAAGGUCUUUGGAUUGUAAAGCACUUUCGACCGGGACGAAACCGUAAAGCCUAAUACGCUUUGCCUUGACGGUACCGGGAGAAGAAGCACCGGCUAACUACGUGCCAGCAGCCGCGGUAAAAC